rnacentral:rRNA from 1 species
CCUACGGGAGGCAGCAGUGAGGAAUAUUGGUCAAUGGGCGGAAGCCUGAACCAGCCAAGUAGCGUGCAGGAUGACGGCCCUACGGGUUGUAAACUGCUUUUAUACGGGAAUAACGCGCCUUACGUGUAGGGCUUUGCAUGUACCGUAUGAAUAAGGACCGGCUAAUCUCGUUCCAGCCGCCGCGGUAAUACGGAAGGGCCGGGCGUUAUCCGGAUUUAUUGGGUUUAAAGGGAGCGUAGGCCGCAUGUCAAGCGUGCUGUGAAAUGUCCGGGCUUAACCCGGGCCUUGCAGCGCGAACUGGCGUGCUUGAGUCCGCGGAAAGCAGGCGGAAUUCGGGGUGUAGCGGUGAAAUGCGUAGAUAUGACGAAGAACCCCGAUUGCGAAGGCAGCUUGCUGCAGCGGAACUGACGCUGAGGCGCGAAAGCGCGGGUAGCGAACAGGAUUAGAUACCCGAGUAGUC